UACGAAGGGGGCUAGCGUUGCUCGGAAUCACUGGGCGUAAAGCGCACGUAGGCGGCUUCUUAAGUCAGGGGUGAAAUCCUGGAGCUCAACUCCAGAACUGCCUUUGAUACUGGCGACCUUGAGUCCGGGAGAGGUGAGUGGAAUUCCGAGUGUAGAGGUGAAAUUCGUAGAUAUUCGGAAGAACACCAGUGGCGAAGGCGGCUCACUGGACUGGUAUUGACGCUGAGGUGCGAAAGCGUGGGGAGCAAACAGG
rnacentral:rRNA from 1 species